rnacentral:rRNA from 1 species
GACGAACGCUGGCGGCGUGCUUAACACAUGCAAGUCGAACGGAAAGGCCCUGCUUUUGUGGGGUGCUCGAGUGGCGAACGGGUGAGUAACACGUGAGUAACCUGCCCUUGACUUUGGGAUAACUUCAGGAAACUGGGGCUAAUACCGGAUAGGAGCUCCUGCUGCAUGGUGGGGGUUGGAAAGUGUCGGCGGUUGGGGAUGGACUCGCGGCUUAUCAGCUUGUUGGUGAGGUAGUGGCGUACCAAGGCUUUGACGGGUAGCCGGCCUGAGAGGGUGACCGGCCACAUUGGGACUGAGGUACGGCGCAGACGCCUACGGGAGGCAGCAGUGGAGAAUAUUGCACAAUGGGCGGAAGCCUGAUGCAGCAACGCCGCGUGCGGGAUGACGGCCUUCGGGUUGUAAACCGCUUUCGCCUGUGACGAAGAGUGAGUGACGGUAAUGGGUAAAGAAGCACCGGCUAACUACGUG